CAGCAGCCACGGUAAUACGAAGGGGGCUAGCGUUGUUCGGAUUUACUGGGCGUAAAGCGCACGUAGGCGGAUCGAUCAGUCAGGGGUGAAAUCCCAGAGCUCAACUCUGGAACUGCCUUUGAUACUGUCGAUCUGGAGUAUGGAAGAGGUGAGUGGAAUUCCGAGUGUAGAGGUGAAAUUCGUAGAUAUUCGGAGGAACACCAGUGGCGAAGGCGGCUCACUGGUCCAUUACUGACGCUGAGGUGCGAAAGCGUGGGGAGCAAACAGGAUUAGAUACCCCCGUAGUCCCUGUCUUUUAUAU
rnacentral:rRNA from 1 species